rnacentral:rRNA from 1 species
AUUGAACGCUGGCGGCAGGCCUAACACAUGCAAGUCGAGCGGAGCGGCGGACGGGUGAGUAAUGCCUAGGAAUCUGCCUGGUAGUGGGGGAUAACGUCCGGAAACGGGCGCUAAUACCGCAUAAUAUCAGAUGAGCCUAGGUUGGAUUAGCUAGUUGGUGGGGUAAAGGUCUACCAAGGCGACGAUCCGUAACUGGUCGGGGAGGAUGAUAAGUCAAACGGGAACUGAGACACGGUCCGGACUCCUAGGGUAGGCAGCAGGGGGGAAUAUUGGACAAUGGGCGAAAUCCUGAUCCAGCCAGGCCGCGUGUGUGAAGAAGGUCUUCGGAUUGUAAAUCUCUUUAAGUUGGUAGGCGUUACCAACAGAAUAAGCACCGGCUAACUUCGUGCCAGCAGCCGCGGUAAUAC